CGAAGCCUACGGGAGGCAGCAGUGAGGAAUAUUGGUCAAUGGGAGAGAUCCUGAACCAGCCAAGCCGCGUGAGGGAAGACGGCCCUAUGGGUUGUAAACCUCUUUUGUCGGAGAACAAAACCCGGGACGAGUCCCGGACUGCGUGUAUCCGAAGAAAAAGCAUCGGCUGACUCCGUGCCAGCAGCCGCGGUAAUACGGAGGAUGCGAGCGUUAUCCGGAUUUAUUGGGUUUAAAGGGUGCGUAGGCGGUCUGUUAAGUCAGCGUUAAAAUUGCGGGGCUCAACCCCGUCUAGCCGUUGAAACUGG
rnacentral:rRNA from 1 species